AUGUUUUUGAACCACUCGGGGGCGACGUACCCUCGAGUUCCCCUGAUGCCAGUGUUCGUCUGUGUCUGAUUUGUCCUGAGCAACUUUGCUAGGCCAAAGUCUGAGAUCUUUGCCACGAGAUUCUCAUCAAGAAGGAUGUUUUGGGGCUUUAUGUCACAAUGGAUUAUUUGAGUGUUGCAUUCCUCAUGUAAGUAGAGCAGGCCUCUUGCCAACCCAAGUGCGACUUGA
rnacentral:rRNA from 1 species